CUCAGGACGAACGCUGGCGGCGUGCCUAAUACAUGCAAGUCGAACGAACUCUGGUAUUGAUUGGUGCUUGCAUCAUGAUUUACAUUUGAGUGAGUGGCGAACUGGUGAGUAACACGUGGGAAACCUGCCCAGAAGCGGGGGAUAACACCUGGAAACAGAUGCUAAUACCGCAUAACAACUUGGACCGCAUGGUCCGAGUUUGAAAGAUGGCUUCGGCUAUCACUUUUGGAUGGUCCCGCGGCGUAUUAGCUAGAUGGUGGGGUAACGGCUCACCAUGGCAAUGAUACGUAGCCGACCUGAGAGGGUAAUCGGCCACAUUGGGACUGAGACACGGCCCAAACUCCUACGGGAGGCAGCAGUAGGGAAUCUUCCACAAUGGACGAAAGUCUGAUGGAGCAACGCCGCGUGAGUGAAGAAGGGUUUCGGCUCGUAAAACUCUGUUGUUAAAGAAGAACAUAUCUGAGAGUAACUGUUCAGGUAUUGACGGUAUUUAACCAGAAAGCCACGGCUAACUACGUGCCAGCAGCCGCGGUAAUACGUAGGUGGCAAGCGUUGUCCGGAUUUAUUGGGCGUAAAGCGAGCGCAGGCGGUUUUUUAAGUCUGAUGUGAAAGCCUUCGGCUCAACCGAAGAAGUGCAUCGGAAACUGGGAAACUUGAGUGCAGAAGAGGACAGUGGAACUCCAUGUGUAGCGGUGAAAUGCGUAGAUAUAUGGAAGAACACCAGUGGCGAAGGCGGCUGUCUGGUCUGUAACUGACGCUGAGGCUCGAAAGUAUGGGUAGCAAACAGGAUUAGAUACCCUGGUAGUCCAUACCGUAAACGAUGAAUGCUAAGUGUUGGAGGGUUUCCGCCCUUCAGUGCUGCAGCUAACGCAUUAAGCAUUCCGCCUGGGGAGUACGGCCGCAAGGCUGAAACUCAAAGGAAUUGACGGGGGCCCGCACAAGCGGUGGAGCAUGUGGUUUAAUUCGAAGCUACGCGAAGAACCUUACCAGGUCUUGACAUACUAUGCAAAUCUAAGAGAUUAGACGUUCCCUUCGGGGACAUGGAUACAGGUGGUGCAUGGUUGUCGUCAGCUCGUGUCGUGAGAUGUUGGGUUAAGUCCCGCAACGAGCGCAACCCUUAUUAUCAGUUGCCAGCAUUAAGUUGGGCACUCUGGUGAGACUGCCGGUGACAAACCGGAGGAAGGUGGGGAUGACGUCAAAUCAUCAUGCCCCUUAUGACCUGGGCUACACACGUGCUACAAUGGAUGGUACAACGAGUUGCGAACUCGCGAGAGUAAGCUAAUCUCUUAAAGCCAUUCUCAGUUCGGAUUGUAGGCUGCAACUCGCCUACAUGAAGUCGGAAUCGCUAGUAAUCGCGGAUCAGCAUGCCGCGGGUGAAUACGUUCCCGGGCCUUGUACACACCGCCCGUCACACCAUGAGAGUUUGUAACACCCAAAGUCGGUGGGGUAACCUUUUAGGAACCAGCCGCC
rnacentral:rRNA from 2 species